UACGUAGGGGGCGAGCGUUGUCCGGAUUUAUUGGGCGUAAAGAGCGUGUAGGCGGCCAGGUAGGUCUGCUGUGAAAACUCGAGGCUCAACCUCGAGACGUCGGCGGAAACCAUCUGGCUAGAGUCCGGAAGAGGAGAGUGGAAUUCCUGGUGUAGCGGUGAAAUGCGCAGAUAUCGUAAGGAAGACCAGUGGCGAAGGCGGGUCUCUGGACAGUUCCUGACGCUGAGGCACGAAGGCCAGGGGAGCAAACGGG
rnacentral:rRNA from 1 species